AGCGAACGUUAGCGGCGGGCUUAGCACAUGCAAGUCGAGCGAGAAAGGGACUUCGGUCCUGAGUAAAGCGGCGGACGGGUGAGUAACACGUAGGUAAUCUUCCCUUGAGCGGGGGACAACGGUCCGAAAGGACCGCUAAUACCGCAUACGUUUCCAGGGACUCUGGUCUUUGGAAGGAAAGCUAGGCCGCAAGGUCCGGCACUCGAGGAGGAGCCUGCGUCGCAUCAGCUAGUUGGUGGGGUAAUGGCCUACCAAGGCGAAGACGCGUAGCUGGUCUGAGAGGAUGAUCAGCCACACUGGGACUGAGACACGGCCCAGACUCCUACGGGAGGCAGCAGUGGGGAAUAUUGGACAAUGGGCGCAAGCCUGAUCCAGCCACGCCGCGUGAGUGAUGAAGGCCUCGGUCGUAAG
rnacentral:rRNA from 1 species